rnacentral:rRNA from 1 species
UACGGAGGGUGCGAGCGUUGCUCGGAAUCAUUGGGCGUAAAGCGUACGCAGGCUGCUCUGUAAGUCGGGUGUGAAAGCCCAGGGCUCAACCCUGGAACUGCGCCCGAGACUGCAGGGCUUGAGUGCGGGAGAGGGAAGCGGAAUUCCUGGUGUAGAGGUGAAAUUCGUAGAUAUCAGGAGGAACACCGGUGGCGAAAGCGGCUUCCUGGCCCGACACUGACGCUCAUGUACGAAAGCGUGGGGAGCAAACAGG